UUGAAAUAGGCUGUCAAAUGAGGUAGGCAAAAUUUUAGGAUUCCAUCUUUAUCGAAUGUUUGAAUGUGUGUUUGAAUGACUUUUUAUUUUAUCGCCGAAACUGAAAUUGUAUUCAUUUUACUGAGGGAUGCCCCAAGGUCUUAUGCAUUCAUUUUCUGGGGACUGCCCCGAGGUCUUAUGUAUUCAUUUGCCAGGGAAUGCCC
rnacentral:lncRNA from 1 species